rnacentral:lncRNA from 1 species
GAGAGAGCAGGUCUUUUCUUAUUGAAGGGAAGCAGGGAAUUGGUCACAGUGAGUUGAUUCAUCCUUACAAUUUGCAAGUGACUAGAGCCAAAGAGGGGUGUAAACCAGAAUCUUCUAGAGCAAGUUUGUCCAACCCGUGGCCUGAGGACUGCAUGCAGCCCAGGACAGCUUUGAAUGCUGCCCAACACAAAUUCAUAAACUUUAUUAAAACAUUAUGAGAUUUAUGCACGGACCCUUUUUUUUUUUUCUUUUUUUAGCUCAUCAGCUAUUGUUAGUGUCAGUGUAUUUUAUGUGUGUCCCAAGACAAUUCUCCUUCUUCCAGUGUGGCCCAGGGCAGCCAAAAGAUUGGACACCCCUGUUAUAGAACAUUGCCUUUCUCUGCAAAAAGAGGCAGUCGGCAAGAGUUGGCAAUGAGGGUGGCGAGAGGUUGUACAGUACACAUAAAAGGAAUACAACCCACUUGGUCCACAGAAGGGGCUGAAGCUGGUAUUCUGUUCUCCCUUGGGACAGAGGCUGCUGGAAGGUGACCAGAUGUUUCACUCAACAGACAUUGAUGAAGUGAAGCUAUGAGACAGCCACUGGGAUUAAACUGGUGAACAAGACAGACAUGGUUCCUCCCUCAUUAAGAGACAUUAUGUAGGUAAACAAAUACAUAAAUGAGCUAAUUCCACAUUAUGGUAAGUGCUGUGAAGGAGGUGAUGAGAGUUAAGCUGAAGCCUAAUGAAUAAGUUCUUUGUUGCAGACAACAGAAUCCACUCUAGCUAGCUAAGCAGAAAGGGAUUUGUUACAGAGUGUUAAUUCAUUACAGAAUUUCCAGGAGGAUCAGGGAACCAUGCUUGGAUGCCACAAAACAAGGACAACCCAGCCAGGAGGAGGCCCAGCCACACCAUGGGACCUCCCUGCUUCGACUCUCACCUCCCCCUCUGACACACGGCCUGGCACCAGCACUUGCUCCUGUCUAAGCUGCUGAAGAAGAACCAAUACCUGCAUGUGACCUGCUCAGAUGGCUCAUGUAUGCCUUCCAAGUCAUGCGGGGAUGCUCCUGCUUGUCAGACCCAGGUCCGUAGAAGAGCUCUGGCUUUGGGGAGGGCUGGGAAAAGGCUUUUUUUUUUUUUUUUUAAUGGAGUCUUGCUCUGUGGCCCAGGCUGGAAUGCAACGGUGCGAUCUUGGCUCACUGCAACCUCCGCCUCCCAGGUCCAAGCAAUUCUCCUGACUCAGCCUCCCCAGUAGACGAGAUUACAGGCAUGCAUCACCACGCCCAGCUAAUUUUUGUAUAUUUAGUAGAGACGGGGUUUCACCAUGUUAGCCAGGCUAGUCUUGAACUCCUGACCUCAGGUGAUCCACCUGUCUCAGCCUCCCAAAGUGCUGGGAAUACAGGCAUCAGCCACGGUACCCCACCAGGGAAAAGACAUUUUGAGCUUCUCAGAUGCCUUGGAAGAGAACCCUCGAGGGAGGUUGCAGGGAACCCCAAGGUAUCUAAUCUACACUGUUGCUGCAACACACAGCAAAAUGGUAACAGGUUUUUGUUGUUGUUGUUGUUGUUUG